rnacentral:rRNA from 1 species
UACGUAGGCAGCAAGCGUUGUUCGGAAUUACUGGGCGUAAAGAGUGUGUAGGCGGUGCUCCAAGUCUGGUGUGAAAUCUCCCGGCUUAACUGGGAGGGUGCAUUAGAAACUGGAAUGCUAGAGGAUGGGAGAGGUAAGCGGAAUUCCUGGUGUAGCGGUGAAAUGCGUAGAUAUCAGGAGGAACACCUGUGGUGUAGACAGCUUACUGGACCAUUUCUGACGCUGGGACACGAAAGCGUGGUAGCAAACAGG